UUGUAAGUUAAUAAUUGAAGUUAAAAAUUUUUAAUAAAAAGUUAGGAUAAGAUACCCUAUUAUUUAAAAUGUAAAUUAAUUGCUAAAGUAGUAAUAGUUAUGUUCUUGAAACUUAAAAAAUUGGGCGGUAUUUUAGUCUAUCCAGAGGAACCUGUUUUGUAAUCGAUAAUCCACGAUGGACCUUACUUACGUUUGUAAUCAGUUUAUAUACCGAGAUCGGAAGA